GUGUUCACUUCAGCAGCACUACAUAUACUAAAAUCAUGAUACAGAGAAGAUUAGCAUGGCCCCUGCACAAGGACAACACACAAAUUCCUGUAGCGUUACAUACUAAA
ensembl:snRNA U6 U6 spliceosomal RNA